rnacentral:tRNA from 1 species
GUAAGUAUAGCUUAAUUUGGUAAAGCGCUAAGUUGUGGCCUUAGAGAGUAUAGGUUCGAUUCCUAUUAUUUACC